rnacentral:rRNA from 1 species
GAUGAACGCUGGCGGCGUGCCUAAUACAUGCAAGUCGAGCGAACGGACGAGAAGCUUGCUUCUCUGAUGUUAGCGGCGGACGGGUGAGUAACACGUGGAUAACCUACCUAUAAGACUGGGAUAACUUCGGGAAACCGGAGCUAAUACCGGAUAAUAUUUUGAACCGCAUGGUUCAAAAGUGAAAGACGGUCUUGCUGUCAGUUAUCGAUGGAUACGCGCUGCAUUAGCUAGUUGGUAAGGUAACGGCUUACCAAGGCAACGAUGCAUAGCCGACCUGAGAGGGUGAUAGCCCACCCUGGAACUUAGACACGGUCCAGACUCCUACGGGAGGCAGCAGUAGGGAAUCUUCCGCAAUGGGCGAAAGCCUGACGGAGCAACGCCGCGUGAGUGAUGAAGGUCUUCGGAUCGUAAAACUCUGUUAUUAGGGAAGAACAUAUGUGUAAGUAACUGUGCACAUCUUGACGGUACCUAAUCAGAAAGCCACGGCUAACUACGUG